CUUCAUUGUUUCGUUCUUUCCUCUUUGUUGUAUUCAUUAGAUGGAAAUAAUUAAUUAUAUAAAAAUCACCGUGGUGACUCCAAACUUCAUUUGAGAAUUAGUCUCUUCCAUAUUUCGGUUUUUUCCAAAACUCGAAAAAUUGGAAUCGGGCUAUUCAAACGAAUUUUGAAAAGAAAAAUUAUUAGCAGCAUUGUAUUUUACAAUCUUGAUCCUAUAUACAGAUAGGACCUCUUUAAUCUCUUGAAUGGUUUACAGCCCUCAAUAGUACUUUAUUUAGUUAAAAGAAUACAACCUAAUACAUGGCAUCUCCUCCGUUGUCUUUGAAUCACUAUUAUGUAUCAUGCACAAUUUUUUUCUUUGGUUCUUUCUAAUGCCUUUAUCCCUCCACUCCUACAGCGCUUUCCCCUAGUCCUUCACAUUUUUUUUUGCUAUUCUUUAGCAAAAUAUUGGCUGUCAAUUUUUCAUUUUAUAUAUUUGGAUAUUGAGAAUUUAGUAAUGCUUUUAUAAAAAGAUGGACGUUGAACUGUCAUUUCUGCUGCUUCUUUUUCACUUAUUGUUUUAUGUCCCACUGGCUUAGGCAAUCAUGGGAAAGAAUGGUUUUGGGAAGGCCAUCUUGCGGAUGAUUAGUAUUCUUUCAUUUUGACAUUGAUCACUUAUUGGUGGGUGGUUCUUUGUAAGAUUUUCUUGCAGUCUAAUACAUUUGAUUGUUAUUUUCAGGUUUUGUAGUUUGAAAAGAUUUCUCACAGGUGACAUGCUUGUGGAGCUUAAGGAGAUUGUGGGAAAUAGGGGAGGAAAGUAGAAGACAAUUUGGAGGUUUCCCCUAAUCAGGAGGUCUUUGGUGAGGGGUGCCUUGGUGGAAUUAUGAACAAGUGUAUAGCCGGCAAUCUUGCUGUGAAAAACAAGCAUCACAGAGAGAUGGUUCUGAGAGAUUUUCCCUUACCUUUUUCCAGAAAUGCUCAUUUCCGGUGCACUACUUUCACCACCAACAAACUUCAUUCCUCGGUUAACCUGUAUUACUAGAAGUCAGGAAUUGUUUGAUUAUGAUGGAAGUAUGUAUCUCAAAUUUCUUAUCAGAUCCAGUUUCAAUUUGACUUCUCCAAAGUAACACCUUUUCUCUUCUUUUUAGCACCCUCUAUGGAUUUCUUUGACUCCGCCGACGGACUCUCUCUGCAUAACUCUUCAUUCCUCUUUCUUUUUCUCUGCAUUUCUC